CAAUAGCGUAUAUUAAAGUUGUUGCGGUUAAAAAGCUCGUAGUUGGAUUUCUGCUGAGAACGACCGGUCCGCCCUCUGGGUGUGUAUCUGGCUCUUUCUUGGCAUCUUCUUGGUGAACGUUGCUGCACUUGACUGUGUGGAGCGCUACCCAGGACUUUUACUUUGAGGAAAUUAGAGUGUUUCAAGCAGGCAUACGCCUUGAAUACAUUAGCAUGGAAUAAUAAGAUAGGACCUCGGUUCUAUUUUGUUGGUUUCUAGAGCUGAGGUAAUGAUUAAUAGGGAUAGUUGGGGGCAUUCGUAUUUAACUGUCAGAGGUGAAAUUCUUGGAUUUGUUAAAGACAGACUACUGCGAAAGCAUUUGCCAAGGAUGUUUNCAUUG
rnacentral:rRNA from 1 species